CUCUCCUGGCUUGUCAAGAAUAGAAGCAGGCGUACGUACAAAAUCAUCAGUGUUUGCUAGGUCGAGUGUACGGCUUUUAGUUCCAGACACUUGACAACCAAUUUCCGCUGCCUGCUUUCGGGAGACAGGUUGGCCACUGUUUUUCAGCGCAAGGGUUGUUCGGUUAUACAAACUGCGGCAGCCCAGGGAGAGCACUUAAUCUUGUUUUUACUUUGAAGUUAAAUGAGCCAGUGGUGGUCCAACUACCGAAUGCAGGAAAAAAUUUACUGGGGCCAAGGAAAUACAGAGUUUGUCACAGAGACUCUUCAGCGGAUAUACUUAGGAGGAGCAUACAUUGGUGGCAGCGGCGGGAUGUUCUCCCUACAGUUCCAAAAUCCCGAACAGAGCCGAAAGUGAAUGGACCAGCAAUACCACCUCAUGAAACAAACUACAUUAGAGGACGAGUGACCAGCAAUAAAUAGAAAGCCACACUCCUCACGGAACUUUCUGGGUGGCUGCCAUUCAUGUAACCGAAAAACACGUGCUCUAGUAAAUUGAACUCUAUUUCAGAUACUAUGCCUCAUGAAUAAUGAAUGAAUAAUGAAAACUCAUAAUCUGUUCCCAGACAGGCGAGAAGAGCAC